rnacentral:rRNA from 1 species
AGAGUUUGAUCCUGGCUCAGGAUGAACGCUAGCUACAGGCUUAACACAUGCAAGUCGAGGGGCAGCAUUUUAGUUUGCUUGCAAACUGAAGAUGGCGACCGGCGCACGGGUGAGUAACACGUAUCCAACCUGCCGAUAACUCCGGAAUAGCCUUUCGAAAGAAAGAUUAAUACCGGAUAGCAUACGAAUAUCGCAUGAUAUUUUUAUUAAAGAAUUUCGGUUAUCGAUGGGGAUGCGUUCCAUUAGUUUGUUGGCGGGGUAACGGCCCACCAAGACUACGAUGGAUAGGGGUUCUGAGAGGAAGGUCCCCCACAUUGGAACUGAGACACGGUCCAAACUCCUACGGGAGGCAGCAGUGAGGAAUAUUGGUCAAUGGGCGAGAGCCUGAACCAGCCAAGUAGCGUGAAGGAUGAAGGCUCUAUGGGUCGUAAACUUCUUUUAUAUGGGAAUAAAGUUUUCCACGUGUGGAAUUUUGUAUGUACCAUAUGAAUAAGGAUCGGCUAACUCCGUGCCAGCAGCCGCGGUAAUACGGAGGAUCCGAGCGUUAUCCGGAUUUAUUGGGUUUAAAGGGAGCGUAGGUGGAUUGUUAAGUCAGUUGUGAAAGUUUGCGGCUCAACCGUAAAAUUGCAGUUGAAACUGGCAGUCUUGAGUACAGUAGAGGUGGGCGGAAUUCGUGGUGUAGCGGUGAAAUGCUUAGAUAUCACGAAGAACUCCGAUUGCGAAGGCAGCUCACUAGACUGUCACUGACACUGAUGCUCGAAAGUGUGGGUAUCAAACAGGAUUAGAUACCCUGGUAGUCCACACAGUAAACGAUGAAUACUCGCUGUUUGCGAUAUACAGUAAGCGGCCAAGCGAAAGCAUUAAGUAUUCCACCUGGGGAGUACGCCGGCAACGGUGAAACUCAAAGGAAUUGACGGGGGCCCGCACAAGCGGAGGAACAUGUGGUUUAAUUCGAUGAUACGCGAGGAACCUUACCCGGGCUUAAAUUGCAACAGAAUAUAUUGGAAACAGUAUAGCCGUAAGGCUGUUGUGAAGGUGCUGCAUGGUUGUCGUCAGCUCGUGCCGUGAGGUGUCGGCUUAAGUGCCAUAACGAGCGCAACCCUUAUCUUUAGUUACUAACAGGUUAUGCUGAGGACUCUAGAGAGACUGCCGUCGUAAGAUGUGAGGAAGGUGGGGAUGACGUCAAAUCAGCACGGCCCCUUACGUCCGGGGCUACACACGUGUUACAAUGGGGGGUACAGAAGGCGGCUACCUGGUGACAGGAUGCUAAUCCCAAAAACCUCUCUCAGUUCGGAUCGAAGUCUGCAACCCGACUUCGUGAAGCUGGAUUCGCUAGUAAUCGCGCAUCAGCCAUGGCGCGGUGAAUACGUUCCCGGGCCUUGUACACACCGCCCGUCAAGCCAUGAAAGCCGGGGGUACCUGAAGUACGUAACCGCAAGGAGCGUCCUAGGGUAAAACUGGUAAUUGGGGCUAAGUCGUAACAAGGUAGCCGUACCGGAAGGUGCGGCUGGAACACCU